rnacentral:rRNA from 1 species
UACGUAGGGUGCGAGCGUUGUCCGGAAUUACUGGGCGUAAAGAGCUCGUAGGUGGUUUGUCGCGUUGUCCGUGAAAACUCACAACUCAAUUGUGGGCGUGCGGGCGAUACGGGCAGACUGGAGUACUGCAGGGGAGACUGGAAUUCCUGGUGUAGCGGUGGAAUGCGCAGAUAUCAGGAGGAACACCGGUGGCGAAGGCGGGCUCUGGGCAGUAACUGACGCUGAGGAGCGAAAGCGUGGGGGAGCGAACAGG